AUAAGAUAAAUAAUACAUAUUACAUAUAUAUAUUGAAAGAUAAAUAAUAAAUAUUACAUAUUACAUAUCGAUCAAAAUAAUACUUGUCACAUGAGUUAUGAAGCUCAAAGCAGAAGAAGUAUAACCUUAGAUAAAAAGUAAUAUUAGAUUCUGCUUAUGUUACUACGUGGAUUUAUUAUAUAAGCAAGUAUUAAGAAACAUACCGUUGUGGCCAAAAGAAAAUCUUAAAAGUAACUUGAAACAAGGAUUCCCAGCAAUAUAUCUUUAUACUUGUCAAGUCAAGAGGUAAAUCAAUCUUUUUUUUUCUUCACAAAAGAAGAAUGGACUAAUUAGAAAUACAGAAAAAUAGGAAACUCAAUGAGAUAUCAAAAUCUUGUAAAUGCUUGAUAAACAAAUCGGUUUGAGAUGUUAUUUUUUGUCAAAGCCAAACAUUUGCUCAGGUGUUCGAUCAUCACAUCUUCCACGAAAAUGAUAAUUGCAUUAUGAUGCAAUCUUUGCAUUUUUACUUCUAAGUAAUAAAAUUCUUGCUGUAAUUAAUUUCCCUACUUUCUACUAAUGUGUUUAUUAUCAUGGCUGCAAUCAGUUUAGCAGAAGCUCUUUAACCACUACAUUGUGAUCAUACAGCUUGAUAGAAUUGACAUGACUAUUUCACAAAAUUCAACCAUGAUCUCUUAUACUUAUUCGUUUCAUUAUUACAAAUUGAGUUGCACUAACAACUUGGAAUAAUAAAUUUGGUAAACCACUAUUGAUUCAUAUCUUGCACUAACUGUUCCUUUAUUAAGGAUGACAAAGGAAAAGGACAAAAGUAAGAAAAGAGCAUUGUGCAGUAUGUAUUUCAGCAUUUAAGUACAACUAGAAAUGUUUACCCAUAUAAUCCAAUUGAUAAAUUCAGAGGCUUUCUUGCUCCAAGAAAACAACAUAAAGAAGCUCGGAGUUCCCAAAGACGACACCUGCAAACAUCUAUAAAUAGCAAUCACACACCAUUUUCAUCAAAAUUGGGUAAAAAAUUAUAAUUAUCUCCAUUAUUUAAAAGAUGAAAGGAAAAGAAAUUAAAACUACAACUAAUGAAGUACAAAACUUUCCGAAAUCCCACAAUAAUGUAGUGAUGUUGGUAUUUGAUUCCUUGUGCUAUGUGCUAAAAACCCAAAUUCCUUCUAAAACAGCUUAUGGUAUCCAUAUGCAUCACAAGUAGUAUAUGUUAAACCAUACGACAGUUAUUGUGUGGGCAUCACGUGUUUGUUUGUGCGGGAGAGCGUGAGAGUCAGAGAAGGUUAUUAAUAAGUACUAUAUAGUGAUUAAUGAAUAGAUACAAACAUCCAAAAUCAAGAAGCCCAAAAUUGAUUUCCAUAACAAACCCUGCAUACAAAUAACCAUUAUAAGCUAUAUAUGUACAACUCACUUGAUGUAAUAAUCAAAUUCAAGCAAUCGUUUUUAAAAAAGAAAAAAGAAAGAAGAAAAAUACCUCAAGACCCUUACAAACAAACUAAACAAUUCUCAUAUUAUCCUUUUUUCCUGAGUCAAAACUCUUAAAAGUUUUUAUCCGUACUCCGUGUGGCUGAAUAACUCUGAAGUAAAAGAAGGGGUUCGGACGUAAACCAAUUGUCGUGAGUUUAAACAAGUCGUAUGUAUUAAAUGGUUAUAUACUUAAACAAUUGAGAAGAUUUCUUCAAAUCUAACAAAUAUGUAAAUUGCAGCAGUGAAGCACAUGUAACUAAAAGAAUAUAGAGCCUUGUUUAUAUGCAUCCCUACAACAGGAACCACUAUUUGUCAAUGGGGAAAACAUUAUAUCAAGAAAAUUUAGAUCGAGGUAAACUAAAAAAAAACAGCUACAAAAUUGAGAAAAGCAUACUGGAAAAUCGAGAGAGAAUGCUGAAAUGAAAUUGAAGACAAAAGGAAAUAAUGUCGGUGGAAGAGCUGGAUGUUUUUAUGUAUUCAUAUAGCAAGCAAAAAAUCAUAAAUGCUUGGAACAUAUAGUUACUGGAGUCAUCCUUCAAAGAUGUGAAAAGAGUACAAAGCCACCAAAUGUUUUCUCUUGGAACAAUGGGCUUUUCUCAUCACUAAACUAUUUUAGAUGCAAGAAAUGGGGAGAAAUGCAAAUUCCCCCCAAAAAAGGAUUUCUCACAAUUCUUUUUGAACAAAGAUGAGAAAAAAUUAAAUUCCCACACCAUGCAAUUUAUUGCCAAAUCAGCAACCAACCCACACCCUCACAACAAAGGUCUUCUUACAGUUUUUUAUGAACAAAGAUAAAUCAAGAAGCAAUAUCAAAGAUAGACAGAACAAUUAAUCACCAAAUGGCACAUGCAACAAGUAUGACCACAGGUGAAAUGUGUCCAAGAAGCCUCCACAAAUCAAGGCCGAAACAAAACGAAUGAAUGAAGGUAAGUUACAAGGCCACUAAACUAUGAGAGCAUCUUCUAUUAGAAUGGACAUGGGAUAGACAUGAAAAGGCAAUUGAUAUGUCCAAAAGCAUAAACUUUGCCAAACAUGAUUUUGACUUAGGCAACAAUUUUUCGAUAAAUAUACAUAGAUCUCAAUAGUAAACAAAAUACUCAAUUCUUGCCAUCUUACAAUUCAAAAAAAGUCCUAGAAGAAACAACCGGCAAUGAUUUAUGCACUAGUGAAUUUGUACAUAUGUAGUAAUGGUUAGAGGCAUAAUUUAUCAUCAUGACAUGACUGUGGAUUAACUUCUAAAGGCUUUUAAUGAAAACGUUCAAAAAUAGUGCAACGGAAAUAGAGUUAAAUUGAGUAUCAUCAACCUUUAGGUUUUUUCGUGUCAAGGUACUACAGUUGCCCAGUGUUUUAACUCAACCAAUUUGUCGAAAUAUUUCUUCUCAAAAUGUCCAAAUUGAAGUGCCCCAAACUCAGUUACUAAUUUAGACAGGGUAACGGUAUUAAAAAUAGAGAAAUUUUAUGGAUAUCGUCAAAAACAUGAAGUGUUAACCAAAGGGACACAACCCUUGUACUUCAGCUGAGUUUUCUGCUGAAGAUUUCACAUUUCAUGUUACUGCUUUUGGACUAAAUUGGUAAUAAUCUAUAUUCAUUUGGUCAAGGAAAUUUCUAGACGUGCAUUGUGAUGCAGUCUUAUCCGAGCACUGUAUUUUAUCUCUUGGAACGAGAUGCAUUUUAUCAUGAAACAACUUUAAAAGGCAAGAUAUCAGCAAACUCAAGUUCCCCUAAAAUAGGACUCCUUACAAUUAGAUUAGACGAAGCUUAGAUUCCAAACCAUACAAUUUAUCACCAAAUCAAAAACUCAUCCCAACUACAAAAUGACUCCUUACACUUCCUUAUUUUACUAAGAUGAAGAAGCAAUAUCAAAGAUAAACCAAAGAAUUUAUCACCAAAUCAUGAAUGCAACCACUAUAUGAUGAGGGAUGCAAACAACUUAACAAUGAGAAGUUAAAGAAGAAGAGAGAGGAGAAGAAUAAGGAGAGAGAAUUGGAGAAAGACUUGUAAUUAUAUUCAAUAAUAAAACAUGUAUCUUACAACAAAUAGAGUCUCUAAGGAAAACUAUGGUUUACUUUAUACGGAAACAAACUAAAUUGUCUUAAAAUUUAAAAACUCAAUAUGCAAAUAAGGAAAAUAACAUAAAACCAUAUACACCUAGAAUAGACUUUUCUUAUUGCAUUGCUAAAACAAUACUUUUUCCAAAAUAAAUCACUCUACAAGCAUCAGUGCACAAUAACCAAAGAAACUGCAUCCAAGAAGCCUUCAAACUCAUCACAUGCUAAAGGCUGAAUAGUAAAACAAAUGAAUGCCAGCUUAUUUUUUUUCUCUAAAUAUAAAUGCAUCUAAAAGAACAUGGUAAAAUUGAAGUCUUGAUGGUAAAUGGAGUUACUUCCGUGGAUCUCCAGUCCCACUUCCUCCCAGAAGGCCACAAGAAACACAAACAGGUUUGGAGUCCCAUUCUUCCCAUCCCAUUACAAUCUGAAAUCCUUGCCUAUUACUUAUAUCUACGAUGUUAUUCAAUACUAUCAAGGUAUGUAGCCAAUCAUAUAUAACAAACCUUCCAUUUCAAAGUUAUGGUAUCAUGGUGUGAAAUUUUCGUAAAGGUUUAUUGUUAGAACAAGGUUCUUAUCGAACUCCCUAGAAAAACUCAGUCGCUACGCUUUACCUUUCCUUUUUUUCCUCUUUAAUAAGCAACAAAGACAACAUUCAUAAGAGACCAAACUUGAAGACUAUCAACAGUCAAGAUGUAUCCAACUUAAACAUGAAGGCUUUUUGCGGGUGAUUGUACUGCUUACUGAAUAAGCAAAAGGGAUAUGCUUCUUCUUAUCCUUUUGCACUAUGCAUCAAAACUUGCAAAAAUAGAACCAUUCAUGCAGAUCUAUUCACUUGGGAUAUUCCUCAUGCUAUUCUAGCCAGCUAAGGUCAUAAUUUUUUCAUACGACGCCUCCAUCCCAGAUGAAUGGUAAAAAACUCACUUUGUGAACAAUAUUGUAAACAUGAGUCCAGGAAAUUGAACAUGAAAUUAUGGAUUGUCUCUUUUUAUUAAGUGCAACUAUAAUAUAAUAAAGAUAACAACAUACCUAAACUAAAACUGCAGAAAAAAGAAGAUACGCAGCAGAAUAAAGAUUGAAAGAAAAAUGAAGCUGCUUAGCUAGAUAAAGAUAAAUUGUUGAAACCCAAGAGUACAAGCGCUAAUAGGAGUACAAGACAUCCCGAUUGAGCCAAAAAAUCUCCAAAAAUACUGACAAUGAUCGAUUAUUCUUCUCGUGAAAACAUUUCAAGCAGAAAUCGAGCAGACACAUGUUGAACAAAAAUAAAAGCUUCAAAAGUAAAUCAAGGUGAAUAAAGAAUAACUUAACAAAAUUUUCACAUAUCAAACAGAAACAAGAUAAAAGGCCUUAAAUAAAAAUGAAGAAACUAACAAACAAAUCUACGAAGAAGCAAAAAUGUAGCAAAAUUUGAAUCUUCUCAGCUAGGUGUAGCUAAACUGAAGAAAAAUCAGCUAAAAAUAUGAACAAUACUAUAAAAUUGAGACAUGAAACUGGAAUAGAGUCGAACACAAUAAAAAUCGACGAAAAGGAUAACAUUAAGCAUAAUAUUUAGUUUCUGAAGUAGAUCAAGGUAACUCAAGAGUAAUCCAACAGAUUUUUCACAUAUCAGACAGCAAAGAGAAAAAAAUAAUAUAAGUAAAAUUGAACAAAGGAAGAAAAAAUCCACAAAAGAGCAAAAUUGUAACAAAAUCCGAAGUUUCACAAGUAGAUCCAGCUAAACUGAAGGAUAAGUAGUGAAACCCAAAGAGGACGUCCUGUAGAACGAGAGACAGAGCCUGAGAGAGAGUCAAAAGCAGGAGGAAAUGAUCGUGAAAGAGUCAGGUGAAAAAGUCUAGAUGAUUUCUACGACAUGACAUUUUUAUCAUCAUACAGCAUCAUUUUUACAAUAAACAUGAAUAGUAAGGAAUCAGAUAGUAAACAGUAGCCGAACUGUUUAUACUAAACAAAUUCAAUUGUUCUCCUUUACAUAAUGUGUCUUGGACCAAAUAUCCUCAACCAAGAAUCUCGUCAGUACAGCCUAAGCACACGCACCAAACCCCCUUUUGUAAUUUGUAUUGCACGCGCUUCCCAGGCAGAUCUCUUUAGUAUUUUAUCUAGCAUGCCAGUAUUAUCUGAAGGAAAUAAGAGAUAAGAGUGUAUUUUGAUUUAUUAGAAAUAAUGCUUUGCUAUUUUUUCUUGAUUAUACACCAAGUAACCAUGCCUCUUAUAGCUGAAUUGUUAAUUAUAAAAUAAUGUGCUGCUGUAUAGAGUACAUGACUUCAAGCAGUAAAACUGUGUACAACAAAAUUGAUCUUGAAUGCAUGAAACAAUAUCCAAAACACAAUUCUGCUUGCAAAGUCAUUACAAGAACCAUUGACAUCAAUGAGUUUCAUAGAGAUCAAUUAUCCGACAACCUUAAAAAGGCAAACCAAUAAGUAUCUCCUGCAAUAACUAUUGGAUUAGAGAACAAGCAAGUCCAGUACACUUUAUAAGCUUCUCUAAAAAAUAUAUACAUGUUCAACUUGUUUAUAAUUUAUUCUUGUGGAUCAUAAAUAUUAAUUGAAAAAAACAAAAAACUCAGAUUAAAGGCCAAAAUUCCAUAUACAAAGCAGACCAUCCAUUAAAAGUCCAUUGUAUUCUUAAUUGAAUACACCGUGACUUUUAGAGAGUUUCUAAAAGUCUCAAUUGAAUAUCCUUAAAUUUUAUAAAUCCCAAAAAGUCAUUAAAAGUCUCAAUUAAAUACACCCCUCUAAAUGAUUGUCACACUUCGUACUCAAAAUAAUCAUUGCAAUUCCUUUUAUAACAUAUAUUGUAGUCUUCCGAUGACAUGUGAAAACCAAGAGACUUAAAGAAAUGGCUAAAUCCUGUAAAACACAGUAUAGAAGCUUAACAAAAAUCUAAACCGAUUUUUCAAGAAUUCACAUCGGGAUUAUUCUUAAUCCUACUAUGGCGUCGUCUUAUUUUUUCUAUAGAACAAUUUUCAUUUAUACACAAUAAAUUUUUUAGCAAACAUAACAGCACCAGCCACAGAGAAUGCGGAAGCAUUAGGUUAUAUUCUCUUUCCAUAGUUAGAUCAAGCGAAAUCCUAAAACUGGAACUAAUGGUGGAAUAUUAUCAAUCAAUAAGAUUUUACAAUUGUUUGAAUUCCAAAUCAUCAGAAGUGUGACUAACAGAGGGAAGAGAAGUCAACAGCAGAAGUUAAUAACCCGUGAUGCAUAAUAUAGAACACUUUUCCCCACCUUGAUAUGUAGCCAAUAGUUCCUUUUUGAAAAUAAUAAGAGUAGUCAAAACUUUAAAGUAUAUAAAAAUUGGGUAAAUAUGAUUGAACUAACCACAAGGAUUUCUAUCCCAUCGAGAAUAGUUUGCUUUUUCGUCUCUACUUGUCUUAAAGCAGUCUGCAUGAAAAUUACAAUAUCGCUCAACAUUAGCUACAACAAGUGACAAUUGGCAGGUUUGCCACACAAAUAUAUCAUAUAUGCAAGAGAUUGAGUUCUUACAAUUGGAAGUUUUAGUUCACGAAUAUGUUGGGACAUUGAGAGGAUAUCAGUAACAUUGUCUUCAUCCCUCCAUUCUGUGUUAAGUUUCCUUAUGAACUCAGCAUUGCAAAGAAGUACUGAUAACUCAGUGCUUUCAAAACAACCAACGUCACUGAUCGAAGUAUCUCUUGUUUUAAAGUGGAAUUACUGAGACCAUCAACUGCUAACUUCAUUGCCAUUUAAACAUUAAGACGAAGUAUUUCUAGAAUAUCCAGCACAUCGUAAUAAAGAAACUUUAAAAGAAAUUUUUUGCCCUUAAAAAUAGCAUAUAUAGUAAAUAUCAUCUCAAUGUCAAAGUAUGCUCCAAAUAUCAGUAUUUACACUACACACUGUAUACAUGUAGUAUAUGCUCGGAAACAAUAUCGCAUGAGCAAUUAAGUUCAACAUAUGCAAUAUUUCUCUUCUUUUGUUCCUAUUAAUCUAUAGUGCAUUAUGUCUCAAAUGUAACUUUUUCCACACAAUUCUUCUAUCCACAUAUAAUUUUAACGUACAAAAACAAUCAAAUGCAGAAAACUUUAAAAUGCAUUAAAGAAAAGUAACUUACUUUGAUCUUGGAACAAUUAAAAAUUACUUCUUUUGAAACAUACUUGUUACUUUAAAGUAAAACUUUUUAAGCUUAGCACAUGCUGUAUAUCGUUUACCAAAAUUAAAGGAUCUUCGAUCAACUAUUCUUGGAUGAAAAUCUUGAGAUUGAGCUCCAGCUCCUUUUCUUUACUCUUCCUCGUUGUAGCCAGUACUCUCUUCGUGAUACCACCACAAUUUCCAUAUGCAUUUCAUAAUCCUCGUGCAAUUCUCAACUUCUAUAAUUAAACUUCCUCUGACCAAAAAUCGUGAUAGAGUCCCAAGAGUCCGACUUCAUAAUGUGUGAAUGAGGAAGAAAAGAUGUAGCAAUGAUUGAGGACGGGCGGGCAUGUGUAUGCACAUGCGCUGACGUUGAGGAGGAGGGAAGGCGAAGGAUAGUGCAGAGGAGAGAGGAUCUAAAGCACACCAUCACUAUUGGUUAGUCUCAUCAAAUUUCCAUCAAAAGGAUCUAAAGGGUUAAAAAGAUUAUCUGGCUAGAUCCUCCAUUGUGGUAGCUGUGUCUAGUAUUUUUUGGAUCACAUCCCAUUACAAUCCACCAUUCAUGGUUGUAGAGGCGUGUAUCUAACUAACUCCAUCCAUGAUUCAAUAAGAUCCAUAAUGAUUGUUGCAAUGCAAUUGCCUAAGUAAAACCAAUGAAAAUCUAUUUUUGAAGGGCCCACAUUUCCAAUGAAAUAGCUUCCGUGCAUUGGCAUAAAAUCAAAAACCCUUGCUAGCAGAGAAUUGGGUAUGACAUAAACUUUUUGAUUGCUGUGUGAAAAUAAUCCUCUUAUCUUAUAUCGAUGUAUAUCCAAUUAGAAGUAAUUUUUCAUAUGGUAGCUCAACGCAUGUAGAAAAGGGCGAACAAAUGGUGUUAGGGGAAAGAGGAAUCCAUUUCGUUAAGGUAUCUAUAAAGGCUCUAGUCUAACAUGUGACUCAAUUCACCAAGCUUAGGCUUGGUUAGUAGUACAUCCCAUGGUUAUGAGUUUUGCAGCUUGUGAAGCCUAGUAACCCUAUAAAUGUUGAAGACGAGGGAAACUAAUUCCUCUUUCUGGUUUGUAAGCAUUCUAUCAAUUAUCCUCGUAUUUUGGAAGAUAAUUUUGUAGAACUUUUAGAUUGACAAAAGGUUAUUAGGCUAUUCUGAAAGAGGAUUCUAUAUAACAAUUUUAUGUAUCUUAUUCUCCCCUACUCCAUUGUAUAAUGAAACUGUGUUUAUCUAGGGUAUGUUCCAGUGAACUUCUAGAAAAUGGAAUGAAAGGCAAUGAUGCAGAGUCAGAAAACACAUAUAGCACAUAUUUUUUUGUAAAAUGUUUACGCCCUUGUAUAAGAAAUAAUAAAUAUUACUACGGGGUAUAACAAGAUAUUAUCAUGCUUCUAUUCUCUUUGUUAUUGCGUAUACGAAGGAAGUGACAAUAUAAACCCAAAAACAAAGCAGGUAGAACAAGAAACUCACUCUCAUGGGACAUCUCCAACAAACAUACAAUUACCAAAUCAAAAAGCAUUUCUCGCCUUCCCUGAUGUGUUACGCCUUCUAAUUAAGAUUUUACAGCAAUUGUAAGAAUUGAUGAACUCUAAAGGAACAAAAAAAUAUUCCUAUAAUACUUACCAAUUUAUCUCCGAAGGUAGAAUUCAUUGUGAAUUUGAGCUAUCUUCAGACAGAAUUGAUACAGUGCUUUGUUCAUGUAAACUUAAAGUAAAACCCAAUAAUCAAUAGAAAGAAUUAAAAAAGAAAUGAUUAAUUCAAGAAAUCAAACAACUGAAACACCAGAUUCGAAGAAACGGAAACAAAUGUUUCAUAAAAUUUAGUGAACAUAUACCGACACAGAAAUAAGAGAAAUUAGACAAAGAGAACGAGAAAAUUUUAAAGAUUCUACUCUAUUGAGAAAGAAUCAAGAGCCCCAAGCACUAAGCAAAAGGGACCUUUUAGGGUGUUAUGUAAAAAUCUAUGCAACUGACAUUUACUGUAAAGUAAAGGGAAAAUGUAAGAUGUUAAUUCUAAAAUAAAAGAUAAAGUUUUCCAUGUAAAAGUCAAAGAGAUAAAGGAAUGUUAUUGGAUGAUAGGGGAAAGAAUACACCUGAAACAAAAUCAGAUGAUCAAAGAAAUUGAGAAAAACAAUAAUUAAUUCAAGAAAUACAUGACUAUAUGGAUUGCAUGGGAUUAGAAAUUGUACAUUUAAAGAAUAAGGUGAUCCAUUGUAAGGAUUUAGAUGCAAAGACCUUGUUUGCAUUCAUGAAGAGUAUGACCAGGUCCACUGGGCCAACAGGAAAUGUUUGGGUUAUUGGGGCUCGGAAUGCGGAGGAGUCGACACUAAUCAAAUGCAUUUAACAAGAAAGAAAGGGUAAAGAUCAUAAAACUUACAGAAUCCACCAUUUGUCGAACAACACUCGAUAUUUUGAGAAUUGGAGGAAUAUUGUUUGCUAAGGCAAAAAUAUAUAACACUCAAGGCCUCCUAUAUCUGUAUUUAAUGUCUAUGAGAUUGAACGAGGAGCAGAUAAUGGUUGAGAUAUAAAAAGAGCCACAACCUUGAUCUUUCAGGAUAAAGAUAAGUUAUUAAUUACUUGUGCAUUAGGAUUAAUGACAUCCUACAGAUUAUGGUAAUUCCAGUUCUGAUAGAGAACAAUCUGCCUAAAGAUUUAAACAUGCUCCUAAUACAGAAUUUUAAUUUUCAAUACAAUGAAGAUACAAUAUAGAAUUAUAUAAAUAGCUGCAUUAAAAAAUAAUACUAAAAAGAUAUAAAUAGUCAUACUUGCUGGCAAUAGAGAACGAAAAGGAGAAAGAUCCCAGAGAUAGAUAUGAGUUAGACCUUGCACAAUAUCAAUGAACAAACGUUAAAUUGAAAUAGAAAAGACAAUUCAGCCAAAAAUCAGAAACAAAAUAUAGAGCACAGAUCAAGAACUUGGAAUUUGAAAUAAGAUAGAAUUAGAAAAUCAAAGAAAAAUAAAAACUUAAACCCCCCCCCCCCCCCCCCCCAACAAAAAAAAAAAAAAAAAAAAAAAAAAAAAAAAACCAACCCC
rnacentral:lncRNA from 1 species